rnacentral:rRNA from 1 species
CGGCGGCAUGCCUAAUACAUGCAAGUCGAACGAGACCUUCGGGUCUAGUGGCGCACGGGUGCGUAACGCGUGGGAAUCUGCCCUUGGGUUCGGAAUAACUUCGGGAAACUGAAGCUAAUACCGGAUGAUGACGAAAGUCCAAAGAUUUAUCGCCCAGGGAUGAGCCCGCGUAGGAUUAGCUAGUUGGUGGGGUAAAGGCUCACCAAGGCAACGAUCCUUAGCUGGUCUGAGAGGAUGAUCAGCCACACUGGGACUGAGACACGGCCCAGACUCCUACGGGAGGCAGCAGUAGGGAAUAUUGGACAAUGGGCGAAAGCCUGAUCCAGCAAUGCCGCGUGAGUGAUGAAGGCCUUAGGGUUGUAAAGCUCUUUUACCCGAGAUGAUAAUGACAGUAUCGGGAGAAUAAGCUCCGGCUAACUCC